CUUGUUGUUGAGUUUUGGCCUAUUUGUAUAAGGCUUCGUUUAGAAUUGCGGGAAGAUUGCGUUACGUACUUUGAGAAAGUACGAUAAGAAAAUACAUUUUUGUUUCCGUAUGUAAUAUUAUGUUCCGUAUAUAAUGAUUAGUCGGUUAUUAUAUAUUUUUUGCGUUCCCACCAGAAAACGCAGAAAAAUAUACCUAUAUGCUUUUUUCCUAUCUUCAUUUUAUCUAAUAACGUUAGAUGGAUCUCAAUACCAAACUGAGCCUAAAAACUUUACAAGUUUUAAGGUAUUGCAAAACUGGACCCUUUUUUUCGAUUUUGCAGAUUCGGUCCGUGUACAUUCUUUUCGCUUCUUUUUUUUUCUCGAGUUCUUUUUUUUUUUCU
rnacentral:lncRNA from 1 species